CCUACGGGAGGCUGCAGUGAGGAAUAUUGGUCAAUGGGCGCGAGCCUGAACCAGCCAAGUAGCGUGAAGGAUGACUGCCCUACGGGUUGUAAACUUCUUUUAUAAAGGAAUAAAGUGAGGCACGUGUGCCUUUUUGUAUGUACUUUAUGAAUAAGGCUCGGCUAACUCCGUGCCAGCAGCCGCGGUAAUACGGAGGAUCCGAGCGUUAUCCGGAUUUAUUGGGUUUAAAGGGAGCGUAGAUGGGUUGUUAAGUCAGUUGUGAAAGUUUGCGGCUCAACCGUAAAAUUGCAAUUGAUACUGGCAGGCUUGAGUACAGUAGAGGUGGGCGGAAGUCGUGGUGUAGCGGUGAAAUGCUGAGAUAUCACGAAGAACUCCGAUUGUGAAGGCAGCUCACUGGACUGCAACUGACACUGAGGCUCGAAAGUGUGGGUAUCAAACAGGAUUAGAUACCCCUGUAGUC
rnacentral:rRNA from 1 species